UUAACUUUUGCCAUGUGGCAGAUUCAAAGCAGAUCGCUGCCCUCCGUCUUAUUGUUACCAGCCACUCCAGCCGCCUGCAGACGUCAUGAAGAAAACCAGCAAUACGAGCCUUCUCCUGAAUGAGCCACCAAGGAUGGACAGGAAGGAGAUCAGCAGAAGAAUAUUAGACCUCACCUUGGAGAUCAUCUCCCUGCUGAGCGGAGAGGAGUACACAAUAGUGAAGAAGACAUCGGGGGACUGUGUGACUCCCAUCAUC